GCGGUCGUGGCGGAAUGGUAGACGCGCUAGCUUGAGGUGCUAGUUGGGUAACACCAGUGGAGGUUCGAAUCCUCUCGACCGCACCA
rnacentral:tRNA from 1 species